rnacentral:rRNA from 1 species
GAUGAACGCUAGCUACAGGCUUAACACAUGCAAGUCGAGGGGCAGCAUGACGGAAGCUUGCUUCCGUUGAUGGCGACCGGCGCACGGGUGAGUAACGCGUAUCCAACCUGCCCUUGCCCAUCGGAUAACCCGUCGAAAGGCGGACUAACCCGAUAUGCAGUUCCCAGCAGGCAUCUAACGUGAACGAAAUGGGAAGGAGAAGGAUGGGGAUGCGUCGGAUUAGCUUGUUGGCGGGGUAACGGCCCACCAAGGCGACGAUCAGUAGGGGUUCUGAGGAGAAGGUCACCCACAUUGGAACUGAGACACGGUCCAAACUCCUACGGGAGGCAGCAGUGAGGAAUAUUGGUCAAUGGGCGAGAGCCUGAACCAGCCAAGUAGCGUGCAGGAAGACGGCCCUAUGGGUUGUAAACUGCUUUUAUACGGGGAUAAAGUGAGCCACGUGUGGCUUAUUGCAGGUACCGUAUGAAUAAGGACCGGCUAAUUCCGUGCCAGCCGCCGCCGUAACAC